UCACGUAGCCCUGCCUAACUCAAAGUCAUUGGGAAGGUACUUCCAUACACUGAAAAAGGAAGGGAGAACUGGAUAUUGGGCAGUGUGAAUAUCAAUUACGUAUGGCAAGGAGGAGAUUGAAUGCAGACACUAAUAUUCAGAGGUGCCUAACUUCAACAUUAAUGCCAGUGCUUAUGACUAAGGGGAUCCGAUGAUGCAAGGGUAAACUGGAGUGUCAGACUUCCAAAUGACAUGGAACUUUAGGUGACCUCUAAGACACUGGCUUGUGAGUGUGCAACAGUGCAGAGACCCAAGAUGCUGCUUUUGCAGAAACACCUGGGAUAUUGACAUAUUAAAUGAAAAAUAACCACCCCAGGCUGGAGAUGGUGGCUCACACAUGUAAUCUGUAAUCCCAGCACUUUGGGAGGUCAAGGCAGGAGGAUUGCUUGAAGCCACGAGUGCAAGACCAGCCUGGGCAACAAAGUGAGACCCUAACUCUACAGAAAGGAAGAAAGGAAGAAA
rnacentral:lncRNA from 10 species